CCCCGGGGACCGAGCGGCGCCCCCGGAGCGCCCCUGCUUCGGGCCCGGCCCGGGGGCGAGGCUCCUAGGGUGGGGAGCGAGCGGGGAAAGGAGGCUCAGAAGCUUGGCGAGAACUCCCUCCGCCCCGCGCACACCUGAGGGCGCACGCACAGAGGUAAGUCAGCCCGAGGAGGCCCGGAGCCGGAGAGUCGGCGCUGCGAUGCCGCUCGGCCACGUGAACCACAGCCCGACUGACACCGACCUCCAGUGACACUUCGGUCCCUCACGGCCCUGCAAGAGAGGCCGAUCGAGGAAGAGACGAAGGGGCGCCGCCGUGGACGAAGACUGACAGAUAGGCACCCCACCCCCAGAGGCUCCACGGGGGUCUAGAGACGUCCCCCACCCCCAGGUCUAGAACUCCACCUCUCCACUCCCGCCAGCUGUUUCUCUCAAGCUGCUCAGAUGAGCUCAAGUUUCAAAAUUCAGCUAUGAUAUGUGGAGACAAAUGGGGAGCUGAUGGUUGGGAGAGCAGCAACAGCUACAGAGCAAUAUGGUGCAAGAAGGUUGCACCAGGAGGCUCUGUCCCUUUGCUGUGUGACCCUGGGAGACUCACUCAGCAUCUCUGGGCCUCAGUUGCUACAUCCACAAAAUGAAGUGCUUGGUCACGUCAUCUCCGGAGUUCUUUCCAACCUGUGAAUUCUACCGUGGAUGAGUCUGUGCGCUCCACUGAACGUUCAUAAAUUAUUUUCAUCUCUCCAGACUGUAAGACUGCGGAAAACUCGGCCUGGCCUGGGUCUCAGCACGAGCCUUCUGCUCAGUCUCUUUAUCCAGCUACUUUGAAAUUGGCAGAUUCAUGCAGAAGCACAUUGACUUCAGGCUCUCAUACUCUGGGAUUUCCAGCACUCAACUCCUGGCUUCCUGGACAGCUCUUUGAAGCCUUCUAACAGAUUUUAUGGAGAAGGCAAUGGCACCCCACUCCAGUACUCUUGCCUGGAGAAUCCCAUGGACGGAGGAGCCUGGUGGGCUGCAGUCCAUGGGGUCACUGAGAGUCGGACACAACUGAGCGACUUCACUUUCACUUUUCGCUUUCAUGCAUUGGAGAAGGAAAUGGCAACCCACUCCAGUGUUCUUACCUGGAGAAUCCCAGGGACGGGGGAGCCUGGUGGGCUGCCGUCUAUUGGGUCACACAGAGUCGGACAUGACUGAAGUGACUUAGCAGCAGCAGCAUUAGCAACAGAUUUUAAUUUUCUUUUCACCCAUUUUAUCUGGGUCUUCUCGCUGUUUAUUGAGAAGGUUGAUCUCUCUCUACAAGUUAGUUUGUCACAGGCAGAAGCAGAAGUCCCUCCAUAUGUUAGUAAGUAAAACAAGUAGUUAUAGAAUGGUAUGUAAAGUGGGUUCUAUUUAUAUGCAAAGUGUAUAUGUGUAUAUAUGUGUGUGUGUGUUCAUGAAGAAGAAAGAAAAAGAGCAAAAGCUAUACAUACUGCCUAAUUACUGAGGUUUUCAUUUUUUAACAUAAAUAUUUCCAGUUUUAUACAAUGGACACUGAGUGUGUCCAAACUGGGAUUGACUUUUGAGGUCAUUUAUACCCAUUUUGAAAAUGAGGACUUGGAGGCCAAGAUGAUUUAAAUUCAUUUCAAUUCAACAAUUAUUGGAGGCUUGUUGUGGGCAGAGAACUAUGCAGUGGGCCUCAAGGCAUCCAAAGAAAUGUAAUAACUAGUUACCUAAUCCUCUGUUCCAAGUAUCUCCAAUGUGUGCUAGACUUUGGGAGAUGAGGAUGAAGAUGACAAGAAUCUGCCCUCAAGAAAUUCUGGCUGUGGAGACAGUUAUUCAGAUAAACCAUCCCACAUAUGAUGUGAUAAAUGCUAAAUAAUGACAUGGCAGAGAUUGUGGUUUUCUUCUUAAUAGCUAUUCUUUCAACAUCCAACUAAAAGAUUGUAUUUUCCAGCCUCCCUUACAGUGAGUUGUGGUCAUGUGACAAAAUUUUGGUCCAUGAGAUGUAAGAGGAAAUGUUCUGGGGGUUUCUGGGACGUCUUUUUAAAGGGAACAGCAAAUCUUCCCUUUUUUUCUGCUGCUCGGAAUAUGACGCAAUAGCUGGAGCUUUAGUAAUCCUUUUGACCUGUGAAGGGACCCCCAUACUAGGAUGAUGGAACAGAUAAAAAUAGCCUUAGUCACCAACACCAUGGAGCUGCUCUAUCAGUCCUGUAUUUCUAUGUUUAUACUUACUUCACACAGGAGAGAAAUAAUCAUCUUAUUUCUUAUGCCACUGUUAUUUAGGAUAUUUUUCUUACAUGCAAAUAAAGAAAGUCUCAAUUUAUACAAAUCCUAAAAAUAAAAUGUUACAGGAGCAAAAGAGUGAGUGAGGAAAGAGUGAGUAUUUCCAUUUUUGAGCAUCAGAGAAGUCAGAAUAGGCAUGGAGGUUGUGAAGGGAGUUUGCCAAUGAGAUGGACAGGGAUUAAGGAGGAAGAGCGGACCAGAAGGGAGCAUGGGCGUAGGGCAGGGAAUGGGCAGAGGGGUGUUGGAAUCAUGCAGUCUGGAUUCAAACCCCAUCACAAUCACUUCAUUGCUCUAUGCUUUAGUUUCCCCAUCUGUAAAAUGGGGGGUAAUCGUAGUGUCAGCUGCAUCAGGUUGUAGUGAGGAUUAUGUGAGUUAAUAUAAUGUGCCUGGUGCCUGGUGAGUGCUCAGUAAAGGCUGGCUGUUAAUGUGCUUAUCUGCAAAUUGGGAUAAUCAUAGUCUGAUCGCUAAGGGCAGCCGGUGUAGAUAACACAGCACAGAGCACCACCCACACUGAGUGCCCAGCUACGGAGCCCCCUUUCUCUCCCUGCUGUCAGGGAACUUACAAUCAACAUUUAACAAAUCUUCACCAAGCCCCUGCUCUGAGCCAGGUACUGGGCCAGGAGGUUGCUAAUUCCAGGAAGGAUCAGACCUUAUCCCUGGCCUCCAGUUGCUCACAGUCUCAAGGAGAGGAAAGGAAAAAUAAAAAGAUGAGCAUAAUACAGUAUGGGAAGUGGAACAGUGGUCCAAGUUCAGGCCACAAACUCAGGUGAGCAAGAAAGGUAACUUUAUUUUGGUUAAAUAAGCUCAGUCUCGGCUAUGAUCUCUCACAUGGGGUGGGAAACCUUAAUCUCAGGCAAGUUGAGAUUUUCCCAUUUCUCUGGGGGUGGUGUUUCCAUUCUGUGGAUCUUAUGGGGAGUGUCUGAGGUGUGUCAUCACACCUCAGGAAAGGGUAGUCUUUCCCUUCUCCCAGGGAUCUUCCCAACUCAGAGAUUGAACCCAGGUCUCCCAUGUUGCAGGCAGAUUCUUUACCAGCUGAGCCACAAGGGAAGCCCAAGAAUACUGGAGUGGGUAGCCUAUCCCUUCUCCAGUGGAUCUUCCUGACCCAGGAAUCAAAUUGGGGUCUCCUGCUUUGCAGGAGGAUUCUUUACCAACUUAGCUAUCAGGGAAGCCCCAAGCUGAAAACAACCCAAAUGUUUAUCAACAAGAGCUUGAAAAAACACAUUUUAGUUAAGUUACACAACCCAAGAAUUAAUCACAACCCUGGUUGUGAGAGUUGGACCAUAAAGAAAGUUGAACCCCAAAGAACUGAUACUUUUGAACUGUGGUGUUGGAGAAGACGCUUGAGAGUCCCUUGGGCUGCAAGGAGAUCAAACCAGUCAAUCCUAAAGGAAAUGAAUAUUCAUUGCAAGGACUGAUGCUGAAGCUGAAGCUCCAAUACUUUGGCCACCUGAUGCGAAGACCUGACUCAUUGGAAAAAACCCUGAUGCUGGGAAAGAUAGAAGGCAGUGGGAGAAGUGGAUGGCAGAGGAUGAGAUGGUUGGAUGGCAUCACCAACUCGAUGGAUAUGAGUUUGAGCAAGCUCCAGGAGUUGGUGUUGGACAGGGAAGCCUGGUGUGCUGCAGUCCAUGGGGCUGCAAAGAGUUGGACACUACUGAGUGACUGAACUGAACUGAAACACCCAAAUGUCUAUCAACAGGAGCUUGCAAAAACACAUUUUAGUUAAGUUCAUACUAACAGAUACCACACAACCAUAAAAGUAUAUGAAAUACUGCUGUCCACGAAACAUAAAAGUCAACAUCAUCAUUCGGAAUAGACACAGCCAAACACAAAAGAGUAAAAAUUAUAUAUCCUACUUAUAUGAAGUCCAGGACUAAUCUAUAGUUUUAGAAGUGGUUAUCUCUGGGGGAGAGGGGGGGCAACUGUCAUUGACCACGAGGGGUACUGAAAGUGAGUUCUGGAAGACUCUGAUCUUGGGGUUGGUAACACAGGUAUAGAACAGGUGAAACUGUUAAUAUUUGUGCAUUCUGCAAUAUGUAAAUUAUACCUAAAUUUUUAAAAAUCAAAAUUUCCUUAAAAAAAACCACAGAGGCUAACAUUUCAAAAAUAAUGGCACCUGGUGCCAUGAAGAGGUGAGCAUAUAGCACUCGGCCCAGGGAGGCAGUGACCACACCAGAGGAAAGAGAGCUAUGUGCCUGAUGAUACCGUCUGGGCUCCUAGAUCCAGCCGCACCUGAAGCCUAACCUGGACUUUUCAUUUUUAUGAGGAGACCGCUAUCUGUCAGCCAGGGAGAGAGGUCUCAUCAGAAUCCAAUCAAGUUAGCACCUUGACCUCAGAGUUCAGCCUCCAGAACUGACAGAAGGUAUAUACCUGGAAAUGGAGCUGCUGGAUCAUUUUGUGACCCCAUGGACUGUAGCCCACCAGGCUCCUCUGUCCCUGGGUUUCCCAGGCAAGAAUACUGGAAUGGGUUGCCAUUUCCUUCUCCAGGGAAUCUUGUCAACCCAGGGACCUAACUCAAGUCUCUUGCAUUAGCAGGUGGAUUCUUUACCACUGAGCCACCAUGAAGUCCCAAACAACACCACCACAAUGGUGAUUCUAUGCUUAACGUUUUGAGGAAUCACCAACCUGUUUUCCAGGGCAGCUGCACCAUUCUACAUUUCCAUCAGCAAUGUCUGAGAAUCCUAAAGUCUCUGCAUAUCCUUGCCAACUUAUCUUCCCCCACCCUUUUACACAUCCAUCUGAAUGGGUGUGAAGUUGUAUCUCUUUGGCUUUGAUUUGCUUUUCCCUAAUGACUAAUGAUGUUGAGCACCUUUACAUAUACUUAUUGGCCAUUGUAUGUCUUCU